rnacentral:lncRNA from 1 species
UGUUCAACAAUGUCAUAAUCAUCGGGGUUUUCCCUCAUAACGGUCAUCAACAUAUUUGUUUCUUCUGCAUUCAGUGGUCCAGAUUCUCCCAGAUGGUCUGAAGGCUCACGGCUACCUUGAAAAUGUGUAUUACAAGCAUUCACUUGGCAUCUUCAUCUGACAUUGUCAUCAAGUGCUUCUUUUCCUUGUGUGCGUGCUGCAGUAAACCUUAAUAGCAGUGCUUUAACGUUGCAUAUGCUGUCACGUCUUGAAGAGCUGUGCGGUACAGCAUUCGGUGACCUACGGCUAGUCGUGUCUCAACUUUAAGGAACUUCUAUAUGCAAUAAAACAGUAUUGGUAAA